UACCUAAACAAAUUUAAAAAGUUAAGCUUUUAAAUAACUAUUAAAGAUAUUAUCCCCUUGUAGUGUAGUUUAAUAGCUAUCUACAUAAUAACUUAAUAUAAAGUAUAAUAGUUUAUAUUUUAUAAUAUGACGUUAACAAUUUUGUUUAAUAUUUGAAAAUGUUAGUAUUAGUAAUAUUAGUAUAUGUGCUAAAGGAACUCGGCAAAAAACCACUCAACUGUUUAUCAAAAACAUAGCUAUAUGAAUUAAUAUAUAGUUAUUUCUGCUCAAUGACUUAAAUAGCCGCAGUACUCUGACUGUGCAAAGGUAGCAUAAUCAGUUGGCUUUUAAUUAGAGUCUGGUAUGAACGAAAAUAUGGGUAGUAACUGUCUUAGCACAUUUUUCCGAACUUAUUAAACAAGUGCAAAUGCUUGUAAUUUAA
rnacentral:rRNA from 1 species